UACGUAGGGGGCCAGCGUUGUCCGGACUUACUGGGCGUAAAGCGCGCGCAGGCGGACUCGUAUGUGCCGUGUGAAAGCGCCGGACUUCCUCCGGCGAGGUCAUGGUAGACAGCGGGUCUGAGGCUCAGAGAGGUCGGUGGAAUUCCGGGUGGAGCGGUGAAAUGCGCAGAUAUCAGGAGGAACACCGGUGGCGAAGGCGGGUCUCUGGGCCGAUAUUGACGCUGAGGAGCGAAAGCGUGGGGAGCGAACAGG
rnacentral:rRNA from 1 species